GCUGAUGUGGCUCAGUAGGUAGAGCGUCGCCUUGGUAAGGCGGAGGUCACGGGUUCGAAUCCCGUCAUCAGCU
rnacentral:tRNA from 1 species